rnacentral:rRNA from 1 species
GACGAACGCUGGCGGCGUGCUUAACACAUGCAAGUCGAACGAAGAGCGAUGGAAGCUUGCUUCUAUCAAUCUUAGUGGCGAACGGGUGAGUAACGCGUAAUCAACCUGCCCUUCAGGGGGGGACAACAGUUGGAAACGACUGCUAAUACCGCAUACGAUCUAAUCUCGGCAUCGAGGAUAGAUGAAAGGUGGCCUCUACAUGUAAGCUAUCACUGAAGGAGGGGAUUGCGUCUGAUUAGCUAGUUGGAGGGGUAACGGCCCACCAAGGCGAUGAUCAGUAGCCGGUCUGAGAGGAUGCACGGCCACAUUGGGACUGAGACACGGCCCAGACUCCUACGGGAGGCAGCAGUGGGGAAUCUUCCGCAAUGGACGAAAGUCUGACGGAGCAACGCCGCGUGAGUGAUGACGGCCUUCGGGUUGUAAAGCUCUGUUAAUCGGGACGAAAGGCCUUCUUGCGAAUAGUGAGAAGGAUUGACGGUACCGGAAUAGAAAGCCACGGCUAACUACGUG